CUGCUGAUGGUGAGACCCAACCAGGUCGAAACAGCUGUCCAGCAG
rnacentral:hammerhead_ribozyme from 1 species